UUUUGUUUGCAUAAUAAAAUACAUUUGUAAUUUAAAACUCUUACAUUAUAAACUAUUCAUUUUGUGUCAUAAAGCAUAGACUUCUUUUGUUGCUUCAGCCUCCAGAAUGUAUCCUCGUUUCAUUACUAUAGAUAACAGUUUUUUGUUUGUUUGUUUGUUUUCCGGUACCGGGAAUCGAACUCAUGACCUUGCACUUGCCAGGCAGGCGCUGUGCCGCUGAGCUAAAUCCCCAGCCCCUAUAGCUAACAUUUAAUCUAUGGGAUUCAGUCAAGUGGUGCAUCCAGUUUUCAGAUAAGAAGGCAGAAGCCAUCCUCAGUUGAUAAAUCCUUUCCCUCCAUGGUGGGAAAUUUCCCAGUGAAGUGUGUUACUGUGUCUGAAAUCUUCCUGUAGAGCUCAUGCUCUUUGCAUAUCAGGGCUGUUUUGAUGGCAGGACUGUAGCUUGUUACAGUAUUGAAGCUGCUAAGUGAGAAGUACUAGGAACCUGAUGGAUGUCCUAAGAAAUAUAGAACUGCAUAAUCUAUGUACAAAGGAAUAGGAUAUAAAUUUGACUCUGGCACACAUUCUACUAUAGGCAGACAGCAAGAUGUGUUGGAAAUGUAUUUUAGAAUAUCUGCCCAGGAGUGAUGUUUGAAAGUGUUCUGUCUUCAUUUUGUGUGUUCAGGUAGUUUAAUGUCACCCCAGUGGAAUUCAUUACUUGAUUAUGAACUUAUAACAUGGUGUUUUGAAUCCCCUUAUUAUAGGAUAUGCAACACCCUUUACUUGUCCUCGACUUGUGGAAAGGAAAUAAUGAUUCCUUAUAUUGAAUUCUCAGUUGGUCAUGAGCCUGUUAAAACUAGUAUUGGUAUUUUAAAAAGAGCAACAAAAGAUACAUCUCUUCUCUCUGAAAUAGGUAAUAAGACGUUUUAUGUUCCUAGUGUUCAGGAGAGAGUGUCAGAAAAUCAAUAUGAAUAAAUUGAAGUGCACAGUUGAUUCAACCUAUUUGAAAAAUGUAGUGUAUGGCAAAAUGAUAAUAUGUAUUAUUAUUACAUAUUUUUGUUUUGCUCACAUAUAAAUAUACUUGCAUGCAGAAAAGGUAUUGUAGGUUACUUGUAUAUUUAGGCAGGGGGUGGUUUGCUGGCUUUUUUGUUUUUUCAUUCUUUAUUGUUGUUGUUUAGUAUCUCAAGGCUUACAGCUAAACUGAAUUUGAAACUAAAUACUGUCAUUACAGAAGAUUUUUUUUCUGAGUUCUUCCAAUUUCUCUAGGGACAAAAUAAUGGUUGCUUGAAGCAGUGGAGAAACAGUAAUUAGGGCAAAUAGUAAUACUGUGCAUGAUUGAGGAAAAUGUGAGGAAGGAGGGGGAAGAAAAUGCAACAGACUGACUUGUGCAGCUUGUUACUAGGAAACCACAUCAGCAUUAAAUACAGUGUGCUAAUUGGCUAUCCUGUUUCUGCCUGGGUACCAGCUCAGGCCUGCUACACAGCUGUUUCUGCUCUUUCUGGUUGCUAGGUAACUACAUCAUUCCCUCCACCACCACCCCCCUUUGUAUUCUGGAGGGUAAUUGGCUACUUCUGCUCCUGGUGUUGCUGCUGGGUACCAGUCUGGGCCUGCUGCUCUGCUGUUUUCCAGAGGGAUUUAGUUGGGGGAGGGGAGGAAAAGGGAGCGGAAGAUAUGCUGGCAAUUAAUGGAGCAUAAGUGCAAAUUCUACACAAUGUCUGGCACCUGCGUCCUCUCAUCCUGCUUUCUCAACUAAAUCCUUUAGCUAUGAAAACACAUUACAGCCUUGAAGUCUUUCUUUUCUCUGCAUUCCUUAUCAAUGUAGUUUAAGAAAUAAAACAUUUGAGGACUUAUCGUCUAAGUGAUGCAUUUGGUUUUAAGAGAAAUCAGGCUGAAAAUUACUUACCAAAAUUUGAUAUGGACCCUCCUAGAAUUUGUACAAACAGUUAAAUUAGUAACUUAAUAACAAAAUGGCAUUUUUAAUAUGUUAAGGACAGUGCCACUUUAUCUCUUAAAUGGACUAAAUUAUUUUGUACCGAUUCUUUGUGAUAUACAAAGCACAAAAUAAAAUGGACUGAUGCAUUAUGGGACUUUCUUGACUUAUUCACUUUGAAAGAGUAAAGGAAACCCUCUGACUUUCCAUUGUGGGCUUUAUUCCUUUGAUGUGCACAGCACAUGUGCCCUUACUUGUGGAUAAUAUCUUGUAUUUACAUUAAAUUAAUGCAUGUGUUUGCAUACCUUAGCUUUUUAUGGCAAACUAAUAAACCUGGUGGAUAAUAAA